CGUCUCAUCGCCCUCUCUCUUGAAACCCGAAGUCCUCACCCCCUGCUACCCACCCCUUCUCUCUCUCUCUCUCUAGAUCAAUGGAUGAGUCCCUCUCUCAUCUACGUCUCACUCUUUUUCAAGCACUAUUUGCAACAGCUCCCUCUUGGCGGUCAUUGUCACACCGCAGGCGGCGGUGAUGGUAGAGAGAUCUGUGGCCGGCGAGAUCACGAGCUUGAACCAAACAAAGUCCAAGGUUUGCUAAAUAAUGCCGAACCGAGCUCGAGCUUGAACAGGUCCGACUUUGAGAGAUCUGUGGCCGGCGAGAUCACGAGCUUGAACCAAACAAAGUCCAAGGUUUGCUAAAUAAUGCCGAACCGAGCUCGAGCUUGAACAGGUCCGACUUUGCUCCCACAGAGCUCUUGAGGAUUAAGGAAAGGGUGAAUAGGAGGGCUAGUCAAACAAAAGGAAGGGCGUUUUCUUUGUGGUGAAUAGGAGCACUAUCUGACCAUCCCAAGCCCCUAGGCUUUUUGGGAUUCGGCAGGAAAUCCGAAGGUUCAAGGAAUGGAACAAUUGGUUUCCCAACUCAAAGGGAUCUUCGGCGGUGUCUUUGGUUUGCCAUCCGUGUCAGAUAUGGUUUCUGUGUCGUUUGAAGGCGGCCAAUACACCCCGAGCAUAGAGCAUACCUUGAAUUGCAAACAAAAGAAACAUAAUGGUAAGUGCUUGGUCUGCGGAAAUCUAUAUGCAACUAAGGCAAAAAGGGAUGAGCACUGUAAGUCGUUUGUGAAAACUUGUCUAUACAAGGUCUAUCUUUAUAAGUGUAGCUUAGGAUGCGUUUAGUACCCUUUUUGUUUUCUGUUUUUGCAAUCUUAAGAAAGCAGAAACAUGAUUUUGCUUUCUCAAGUGAAAAUAGAAAACAGAAAUGAUGUUUAUUAA